rnacentral:rRNA from 1 species
CAGUCGCCGCGGGAACACGUAGGUGGCAAGCGUUGUCCGGAAUUAUUGGGCGUAAAGCGCGCGCAGGCGGAUCAGUCAGUCUGUCUUAAAAGUUCGGGGCUUAACCCCGUGAUGGGAUGGAAACUGCCAAUCUAGAGUAUCGGAGAGGAAAGUGGAAUUCCUAGUGUAGCGGUGAAAUGCGUAGAUAUUAGGAAGAACACCAGUGGCGAAGGCGACUUUCUGGACGAAAACUGACGCUGAGGCGCGAAAGCCAGGGGAGCGAACGGGAUUAGAUACCCCAGUAGUCCCUGUCUUUAUACAC